rnacentral:lncRNA from 1 species
AUUCGUCCAAAAUCUAAAUAAAUUAUCCAUUAUUCUUGGAAGGAAUUUAACAUGAUUCGUCAAAAUCAGUCAAUUUGUUUUUAUUGUCAUACAUCAAAUGUACAUUUUAUCAUCAUGUACCAAAAAUUACUGUUAACAUUGUUGGGCAAGUUUGUUAACGUUAUUCGUUAUUCGUCUUGAAGAUUACCUCAUUAAGAUCCAUAUACAUUAUAAUAUUUUUUAAAUCAACAUGUUGAAUUGAUAAAUCAAUUAAAUUAAAUUUAUGGUUGUGAUUCAGGGAUGAUACUUGGCAGUGUUUCUGAGAUCAAUAUCUAAGCAGGAAAUCAAACCUACUGUGGAUUCAUUUGUUUUUGUGUUUAUCAAUUUUCGUAGAAUGAGGAAAACUUGCAUUUUUGAAGAUAUUUGAUAUCAAUGUCUUGCCAAUCUCUGCAUACAAAGCCUAUAGAAAAUUUGUAAUUCAUAGAACAUUUGAAUUCAUGGUUCGUUAACCUGUACCCACAAAACCCACAAAAAUUGGUAUCCAAUGAAUAAAAAGGAAUCUACAGAAUGCAUCAAUAGCAAGGCAUGACUUUUUUGUACAUUUAGGAAUAACAAACAAGAAUAUCUGUGAGCAAUUGACAUUGUGCUUGGCAAACAAGACUUAUCCUACUAGAUCUUAGAUUGUUUUUUAGAAAAAUUCUAAUAAGUUAAUAAUAACACAUGAAAAAAAAACUUAUAAUGAAUUCAAAUAAAAUCUUGUAUAUUCAUAUUAAUUUUAAAUAUAUUCACAACAUAUUCAAAUAUAAAUUUAC